GCCUUGGUGGUGUAAUGUUCAGCACACUUGGCGCGUACUCAAGAGGUCCGAGGUUCGAGUCCCGGUGAGGACA
rnacentral:tRNA from 1 species